ACAUAGCUCACUGGGUUGAGUGUUUGCCUCACGUGCAGGAAGCUUUGGGUUCAAUUCCCAAUGU
rnacentral:tRNA from 1 species